GCCUUCGUGGUGUAAUGGUCAGCACGCUCGAUGCGUAACCGAGAGGUCCGUGGUUCGAUUCCCGGCGAAGGCA
rnacentral:tRNA from 1 species